rnacentral:rRNA from 1 species
GACGAACGCUGGCGGCGUGCUUAACACAUGCAAGUCGAACGGGCCCGCUCUCUUUUUUGGGGGUGGGUUGAGUGGCGAACGGGUGAGUAUCACGUGAGUAACCUGCCCCCUGCUCCUGGAUAACUGCUUGAAAGGGCGGCUAAUACGGGGUGUGCCGGCUGGUCCGCAUGGGCCUGGUCGGGAUAGUUUCAUCUUCGGGUGUUUCGGUGGGGGAUGGGCUCGCGGCCUAUCAGCUUGUUGGUGGGGUGAUGGCCCACCAAGGCGGUGACGGGUAGCCGGCCUGAGAGGGUGGGCGGCCACACUGGGACUGAGACACGGCCCAGACUCCUGCGGGAGGCAGCAGUGGGGGGUAUUGCACAAUGGGCGGAAGCCUGAUGCAGCGACGUCGCGUGAGGGAUGGAGGCCUUCGGGUGGUGAACCUCUUUCUCCGGUGGUGAAGGCCCUGUCCGUUGCGGCGGGGUUGACGGUAGCCGGGGAUGAAGCGCCGGCUAACUACGUG